rnacentral:lncRNA from 1 species
CUCGAGAUUGUACUAUAGCGAAACCAAGUUCAGCGGGAGUGGUGAUUCCAAGGGCUGUCUCGGAUAAGUCGAAAUCAGCGGUUCCUGGAAGAGCGUUUGUCGUGACCGGUCAAAAUGCGAGGAACCCGAACAAGUUUAGCACGAGUUAGUUAAUUAUAAUUCUUGCGAAGUUUAUACCUUACUAGAUACCGGUUCUACCCAUUCUUUUAUCUCUCUUGCUUGCGCUCAACGUUUGAACUUGACUACGGAGAAAUUAGACUUUGACCUAUUAUUG